rnacentral:rRNA from 1 species
UGAUGCAGCCACGCCGCGUGAGCGAUGAAGGCCUUCGGGUCGUAAAGCUCUGUCCUCAAGGAAGAUAAUGACCGUGCUUGAAGAGCAAUCCCCGUGCUAACUUACGUUGCCAACAGCCACCGGUAAUUACUCUACGGGCGCUAGCGCUAUCCGGAAUUACUGGUCCUAACGGUUGCCUAAGUGACUUUUUAAUUCACAAGUGCAAGGCUACUGCUCAACCGUAUGAAGCUUUUCAAACUUCAGAACUUGAGUGCCAGAUAGGACAGUAGAAUUCCUAUCGUGUCGAUGAAGUGCGAAUAUCUUAUGAGGAAUACCAAUGCCUAAAGCUGCUCUCUGAGACUGUAACUGACACUGAGGCACCAGAACGUGGACAGCCACCCCGAUUAGAUACCCUGGUAAUCCACCCCGAAUACAAUCACUGCUAGGCGUCGGCGGUUACCCCCCUCACUGCCACUUCUAAGCCUUUAACUACUCCGUCUGGGACUUACGCUCUCAAUAGAGCACCUCGGAGGAAUUGACGGGGACCCGCACCUCUAACGAAUUAUGUGGUUUACUUCCAAGCAACGCAAAAAGCCUUACAUAUCCUUGACAUCCCAUUGACCUCUCCCUAAUCUUGACAUUUCCCUUCGAUUACAGAGAUGACAUUGGGCGCACGGUUGUCGUCAGAUCGUGUCUUGAUAUGUUGCGUCAACUCCCGCAGCGAGCGCAUCCCUUGCCUUUCGUUGCCAGCAUUACCUUGAUCCCUCUUUACCGACUGCCAAUGAUAACUCCUAUGAGGUGCUGAUGACGACAAAUCAUCAUGCCGCUUAUGACUUAGGGCUACACACGUGCUACCUGCGAUGGUACCUACGCUUGCCAUACCACGAGGUGUACCUAAUCCCUUAAAGCCACUCUCAGUACGUAUGCUCGCUGACUCUCCCUACCUGGAUCUGAUUACACUCAUCUCGAUCAAAAUGAUCCGUGAUGUCUUCAUGAUAUUGUACCCGACGUUCCCCAGGCAUGUUGGG